rnacentral:rRNA from 1 species
CCUUAGAGUUUGAUCCUGGCUCAGGAUGAACGCUAGCUACAGGCUUAACACAUGCAAGUCGAGGGGNAACGACAUCGAAAGCUUGCUUUCGAUGGGCGUCGACCGGCGCACGGGUGAGUAACGCGUAUCCAACCUGCCCAUCACUUGGGGAUAACCUUGCGAAAGUAAGAUUAAUACCCAAUGACGUCUCUAGAAGACAUCUGAAGGAGAUUAAAGAUUUAUCGGUGAUGGAUGGGGAUGCGUCUGAUUAGCUUGUUGGCGGGGUAACGGCCCACCAAGGCGACGAUCAGUAGGGGUUCUGAGAGGAAGGUCCCCCACAUUGGAACUGAGACACGGUCCAAACUCCUACGGGAGGCAGCAGUGAGGAAUAUUGGUCAAUGGGCGAGAGCCUGAACCAGCCAAGUAGCGUGCAGGAUGACGGCCCUAUGGGUUGUAAACUGCUUUUAUAAGGGAAUAAAGUGAGCCUCGUGAGGCUUUUUGCAUGUACCUUAUGAAUAAGGACCGGCUAAUUCCGUGCCAGCAGCCGCGGUAAUACGGAAGGUCCGGGCGUUAUCCGGAUUUAUUGGGUUUAAAGGGAGCGUAGGCCGGAGAUUAAGCGUGUUGUGAAAUGUAGACGCUCAACGUCUGCACUGCAGCGCGAACUGGUUUCCUUGAGUACGCACAAAGUGGGCGGAAUUCGUGGUGUAGCGGUGAAAUGCUUAGAUAUCACGAAGAACUCCGAUUGCGAAGGCAGCUCACUGGAGCGCAACUGACGCUGAAGCUCGAAAGUGCGGGUAUCGAACAGGAUUAGAUACCCUGGUAGUCCGCACGGUAAACGAUGGAUGCCCGCUGUUGGUCUGAAUAGGUCAGCGGCCAAGCGAAAGCAUUAAGCAUCCCACCUGGGGAGUACGCCGGCAACGG